GACAACAGCAAUUGUCAACUUAUUGAACACCUGCAGUUAAUCUUUUCACUGUACAAGUGAACUUUCUUCUAUAUAAAAGUCUAAAAAGACAAAGGAUUGCGUAACAAAAAUGUUUUAGUGUUCAAAAUAUCAAAGAGAGGAACGAACAGGAAGCAUUUUGUGAACACGGACUCAUGGACAUACCAGUGGUGAGAUAAGAUGCCUAAGAGGAUGAUGCAUAACCUGUUGACCGAUCACUAUCGCCAUGAACCCUAAAUCUUGAUUAGGUAAAUGAAGCAAUCCGUACUCAAAAUAAAUUUGUAAAGAACGUCCAAACAAUCGGUAUGCAAUUGACCCAAUGAUAAGUUAUUUUGGCAAACUAUAUUAUAUCGACGAUAGAAUUUGCAAAUAAACGACUUUAAACGAGGUUGGUGAAACCCCUGCACCAUCAACUUAUUUGCCAGUAGCCUGUCUUGAUUUAAAAACUGAUCAUACGCAUACGUAGAAUAUGCUCUGGUGUUUCAUGUUCUUUUGAAAGGACAGCUGGAGUAUAAGAAUCGUUACCAAAUUAAUGCUAAAUUCGUUUACAAUACAGUUCUAAUAAUGAGCAUUACAAAGACAAUGUUGGUAAAAGUUUUGUCAGCACGGAAAUAAAACAUUUUCCUGAUGUAAGCUCUCUAAUUAUUUAAUCACUUCUGAUUUACUAAACACAGAAGUAUAGAUGGUUUUGAUGUGCCUAAUGCGGGUUUUCAAUAUUCCUCAUAUACUUUUAAUCCAUUCCGACAAAGUAUCAAUUUCUUUGUUUUCAGUUUUAGCUCAAUCCAUAAUAGAGAUGAAGUUUUGCCGUCAAUUGAAAGACUGAGGUUUUUUUAAAUUUAGGAACUUUUAAAAUCAGUGAUUUGAGGUCCUCAUUUUUAACUAUAUGAACGGGUGUUACUGGUCAACGAGGGAUUAUUACUAAUCCUAGUCAUCUGAUCAUACUGCUGGUAUGUCUAGGGACCACGUUUGCCCUACCCUGAAUUUCGUAUUCUGUAUGGAAUCUAUGAGGUUGAUCACUGUUCGUUAGCGCAUUAUCUUCAUUUUCAUGCCGUGGUGGCCGAGAGGUUAGAGCGUUGUCGCCGCAUUUUUCAUUCAACUGAUAUGAUUAUCAGUACUGCUAAAAUGUUAUUUAUCUUGGUUAACGAAAUUUUGUAAAGCAUUGACCUUCUAUAAAAAUGGAGUAUCAGAAAAAGGUGUUUUCCAUUUUUGUAGAAUAGACGUGCUCUAUUGCUCGUUUUUGAAUCGCCCAUCAUUUAUUGCUGAAAACAAAUAUACUCAUUUCAUGGAUAUAAUAUAUAUAUAUAUAUAUAUAUAUAUAUCUCGAAGAAAAAAGCUUUUAAACAGCUUAUUAAGAAACAUAUUGUAAAGAUUGUUGGUUCAAAAAUUCCUGAUGGAAGAGUUAUCCUUCCUAAAAUAAAAUACCUCCUACGGAUCCCUAUUUAGGAUUCCUCACCAAUAUUGAUACUCCUAGCUACCCAUGGUUAUUGUGCAGGGAUCAGACACGAAUUGAAAUGUUUCAGCCAGACUGAAAGUUGAAAUCGGGAGAUUAAGGGAUUCUUGCGAAUGCCUCUGACAACUGCGUUAACCGAUUAUCGAAGAAACGUUUUCAUUUGACAAUAGAUCGAAGGAUAUUCAUAGUAAAUUAUCAACAUGCAGCAUGAGGUAUAGCUGACUGUUUACGUCCUGUUUUUCACUCAAUGAUGGUACUUUGUAACACAGCGACAAUUUUAUAAGAGUGGAUAGGUCAUCUCAAGGUUGUUAAACGUGCAGCACAAUGUUUCCCAAUGAUGUCGUAUUGAUAUGCUAUUUUGUAGCUAUAUUCUCUGGGAAGGCUAAUUCAUAUGGAUGCUCAAGAGGAACUAUUACAGAAGAAGAACCAGAAUGCUGUUAUAAUUUUUACAGAGUCAACAACUUCUGUAAACAAUGUCUCCCUGGAUUUUACGGACAUAACUGUGUGCGUGUAUGUCGUUACCCGUAUUACGGACAGCACUGUAUGUAUAUGUGUCGGUGCCCGGAGUCUGAGUGUAACCACCAGUACGGAUGUGAACCAUCUACUUCGUCUGCAUAUACAGAUUUACUGGAUAUACACAAACUACUUCCACUUCAUCGAUUUAACACUUUAAGGUAAACAUAUUAUAUCAUGCCUUUUUUUAUUUUGUAUUGGCUAAAUUUCGUUUCUUGGACAAGGAAACCUCAAAUAAAAUAUGAAAUAGCAAUUAAGUAUGCCCAUGUCUUUAAAUUUGUGUACGAUUCUACAAAUGGCCACGUUCAAGGUAAAGUUCAAGGCAGCAUGAGAGAUCGAAGCUACCUAAUCAAUGUAUCAACAUGUAAGCAAGACUGAUGCCAGGGCAUCGUGGGUACAGCAUCCAAAAAGUGCACUGCCAAAAACAACUAAACUAAUGGAGGAGUUAUUUCCAGCUCCACCUAAGUACCAGAGAUAACAAUACAGUAGAGAAAUAAUCAUUUGUGGUCAUCAUAGUUUGAUUCAGUGCCUGCAGUAUUGGGACAAAACAGGUAUCUCCAUCAUUGUUUAAGCAGCCCAUGGCCUCAUACAAUUUGUUAACUAGAAAUACCAUUAUUUGGAGUAUAAACAAUGAAUGUGUUGCAAAAGAAAAGUACUGUUUCUAUGGAAAUGCUGUAGUUUCAGAAACAGACAGAACUCUUUAUUUUAACUUUCUUCUAUUUGUUGCUGUAUAUGUUACCAAAAAAUGUCAUGUUAAUUCGUGUUAUGUCACAUGCAAGGUGAAGAUUACGAACAGUGAUCAAUCUCAUAACUCCUACAAGCAAUACAAAAUAGAUAGAUGGGCAAACACGGACCCCUGGACACACCAGAGGUGGAAUCAGGUGCCUAGGAGGAGUAAGCAUCCCCUGUUGACCGGUCACACCCGCCGUGAGCCCCAUAUCCUGAUCAGGUAAACGGAGUUAUCUGCAGUCAAAAUCAGUGUGCCAAGAACGGCUUAACAAUCGGUAUGAAACACGUCAGACAGCAUUUGACCCAAUGCGAGGUUGUAUUGACGAACUAGAUCGUUAUAACGACCAUAUAAUUUGCGAAAUGCUGACUUCAAUCGAGACUGUUGAAAUCCCUGUACCAUCAACUUGUUUGUCAGUAGCUUACCUCGAUUUAAAAACUAUGUGUUUAGCUUUUUGUAAUGAUCACUUUUUUGAGGUAGUCGCUUGUAAGCAUCAUACGCUAUAGAAUGUUCUGUUUUUAUUUGACUUAAUAUCGUACAUCCUCUCUCCUGUAGGUUAUAAAAAAGAUCUCUGUCUUGUACUGUAUAGAUAUUUAUAUUAAGAUGUUACCCUAAAUUUGUUUUGUUUGAAUUCGGAGUUUAAUGACGAUAGAAGGAAAUAAAAACAGUUAUAGUUAAUGUUGAUAUAUGUGUUUUGUUUGCUUUUUCUUUUAUUCAGGAAGAGUUGUAAUCAAAUUAGUAUAUGGUUAUUCUUACGUUCCGUAGAUCUGAGGUCCACAUUUUUGUUUUUAUGUUUAUCUAGUAUGAAUCGUGUUGUGUUAAAGACACUAUAUAUAUUGUUAUAAAUAUAAGUUUGUGUCUAGGUAAGUAUUUAGAAUAUGUAUUUAUAUAGGUAUGUAUUUAACUAAUUAAAUGAUUGAAUUGG